GACGAACGCUGGCGGCGUGCUUAACACAUGCAAGUCGAACGGAAAGGCCCUGCUUUUGUGGGGUGCUCGAGUGGCGAACGGGUGAGUAACACGUGAGUAACCUGCCCUUGACUUUGGGAUGACUUCAGGAAACUGGGGCUAAUACCGGAUAGGAGCUCCUGCUGCAUGGUGGGGGUCGGAAAGUUUCGGCGGAUGGGGAUGGACUCGCGGCUUAUCAGCUUGUUGGUGGGGUAGUUGCUUACCAAGGCUUUGACGGGUGGCCGGCCUGAGAGGGUGAACGGCCACAAUGGGACUGAGAUACGGACCAGACUCCUACGGGAGGCAGCAGUGGGGAAUAUUGCACAAUGGGCGGAAGCCUGAUGCAGCAACGCCGCGUGUGGGAUGACGGCCUUCGGGUUGUAAACCGCUUUCGCCUGUGACGAAGCGUGAGUGACGGUAAUGGGUAAAGAAGCACCGGCUAACUACGUG
rnacentral:rRNA from 1 species